CGUCUCUGCAGUCUCUGGGCGAAAAAAAGCAGGAGUUUUUGUGAGUGGUCAGGCAGGGAACAAUGACAGUGGAGUGCGCAUGCACGAGACGACUCCAUGUUUUUCUUUCAGUCUAUGAAUGAAUAUAACGUCGCCCAGUUGGAAUAUUAUCGCUAUUUUACGAGAAAAAUUGCAUAAAAAUAGAUUAGAAACAGCGUUUGACAUGCUUGAAAGUGCUGGGAUGGAAUAUUUUGAAUUUUUUUGUCACGAAAUGCACCCGCGCGUCACCCUUCGGAUACUGACAUGAACGCACGAACAAAACAGAGCUAUUUGGAUAUAACUAUGGAUUAUUUCGAACCAAAACAACAUUUGUUGUUGAAGUAGAAAUCCAUGGAGUGCAUUCUGACAAAGAACAGCAAAGCAUAAACCUGCUCUCCACCACCAGUACUAGGAGAUUAAUGAUGGUGAACAAGCAGAACUUCAGGACAAUGACCCAACACAUCUCCAGGCAGGCUGUGUAAGGGCUAUUUGACCAAGAAGGAGAGUGAUGGAGGGCUGCAUCAGAUGACCUGACCUCCACAAUCACCUGACCUCAACCCAAUUGAGAUGGUUUGGUUUGUCAUGAGUGUGACUGCAGAGUGAAGGAAAAAAACAGCCAACAAUUGCUCAUUAUACAGUGGCUUGCGAAAGUAUUCACCCCCUCGG
rnacentral:lncRNA from 1 species